UGGUGGCAAAUAUGAAAAAGGGAAAUCUGU
rnacentral:piRNA from 1 species